AUACUCACGCCACGUCACUUCACCGUUCACAGUCAUCCAUGGAGUCUCUCUCCAUCAUCUUCUCAUCUUCCUCUCUUCCGUUCCUAAACCACCCCAAAACGCUCAAGCCCACGUCCUCCAAACUCGCCCCUCUCCCUCUCCCCUCCAUUUCAACCCCGAGAAGUCCCCACUUGUUUCUUCUCAGAAGCCAUUCCAUGCCUCAGCGCUUGACCAAAGCCCCUCUCUGUUUCCCCCUGUUCUACCUCUUCGAUUCGCUCCCUUGCUUAGCCUCCGAGGACGUCGUCUCUCCUACCGCCGAUCAGGUCUCGGGCAGGAUCGACCUGGAGUCGAUUUUGGUCUCCAUUGAUGACUUCUUCAACAGGAACCCGUUCUUCGUUGCUGGGUGUGCCUUCAUUUGGCUCGUUGUGAUUCCUGUGGCGGAGUAUUACUUGAGGAAGUACAAGUACGUCUCUGCGAUCGACGCGUUCAGGAAAUUGAGGGACGACCCGAAUGCGCAGCUCCUGGAUAUCAGGGACAGGAAGAGCUUGGCGGCCAUGGCGUCUCCUGAUUUGAAGUACAUGAGCAAGACUGUGGUUCAGGUUCAGUUCGACGAGGGACGUGAGGAUGAGUUUUUGAAGGCUGUUGUGGCGAGCUUCAAGGACCCUGCAAAUACUGUCCUCUGUAUUCUGGACAAUUUCGAUGGCAAUUCGAUGAAAGUUGCAGAACUAUUGUUCAAGAAUGGCUUCAAGGAGGCGUAUGCAAUCAAAGGAGGGGUUAGAGGCGAGAAAGGGUGGUUGGCCAUACAAGAAUCCCUUUUGCCACCUUCUGUACAUAUGUCUUCCAAGAAGUCCAGACAAGAGGUUGGAAUGAAUGGUGCAGUUAGCCAGAAAAAUGGCAAUAAAGCUGAAGGUUCAUCUUCUCCAAGCGUUCCUCAGGGAGAGAACCAAGUUCUAGACCAUGGACAUCAGAAUGAGAUAACAGUGCCUACACCACCGGAGAGAACUGCUUCUAGAUCAUCCUCACCAUAUCCAAAUGUAUGAUCUCUUGCCCUCACACACAGAGUCCUGUCUAUGUGGAGCAAAAGGAAAAUUUCCCCCGAAUUUCCCGAAAAAAUUUGAACUUUUAUUAAGAAGCAUUCAUGCCAAAGAAAUCUUUUAAGUGCACUCCUUGUUCAAGAAGUAAUGUCUGUAGCCAAUACAUCAAAUGUCUACAACAAGUUUGCAUGGAAUUAUAAAUUGUACAGCGACCUAGGUGACUGAUGUUUCUGGUUUUUUGUUU